rnacentral:rRNA from 1 species
AAAUGACGGUACCUGACUAAUAAGCACCGGCUAACUACGUGCCAGCAGCCGCGGUAAUACGUAGGGUGCGAGCGUUAAUCGGAAUUACUGGGCGUAAAGCGUGCGCAGGCGGUUGUGCAAGACAGAUGUGAAAUCCCCGGGCUUAACCUGGGAAUUGCAUUUGUGACUGCACGGCUAGAGUGUGUCAGAGGGGGGUAGAAUUCCACGUGUAGCAGUGAAAUGCGUAGAUAUGUGGAGGAAUACCGAUGGCGAAGGCAGCCCCCUGGGAUAACACUGACGCUCAUGCACGAAAGCGUGGGGAGCAAACAGGAUUAGAUACCCUGGUAGUCCACGCCCUAAACGAUGUCUACUAGUUGUCGGGUCUUAAUUGACUUGGUAACGCAGCUAACGCGUGAAGUAGACCGCCUGGGGAGUACGGUCGCAAGAAUGAAACUCA